UCCACUUCUCAGCUGCUGGCUGAGAUCAAGUGCAUCAUCUUUUCUUACCACUUCAUUAUCUGAUACAUCCUCAGUUUGAAGAUUUUCUAUUAAAUGGAUUUGGAAGGCAUGGGAAUGAGCAACCCCUUUGUCCAUCUACUCCAUGCAUCAACCCAAAAGUGCAGUGCUGCCUGAGACUGUGGCCACACUG
rnacentral:snRNA from 1 species